UCCAAUAUUAAUUGGGUAAAAAAGAAAAAUACUUAAAAAAAUAUCAUUUCAAUAUCCUGUUGAGGUUAGUUAUAGCCUUCCAUAAUCUUCACUGUAGCUAAAAUAAAUGCCAAAAUACUAAGAAUUUAUUGGGAUCAUACCAAUCAUUUCCUCUUGCCUUUCAAAAGAAAAUGGAAAAAAUAUGAAAAGUAAAAAAAAAAAGAAAAAAAACGAUUUUGGCUUUGUGUCUAAGAAAGUAAUCAAUAUUAAAAUUGAUGUUUAUUUGUAAUCUAGAAUAAACAAUAAAUGAUGAGAAUGAUAAGGCUAGAAUGAAGUAGGAUAUUUACAAAAAUGAAUAGCAGUAGCAGAGACAGAAAGAAUGAAAUUCUGUAUCAGACAGGAAAGAACUUGAAGAGUUCAUUGUGAAAGAUCUAAUACAAAUAAACUACUUUUGGACAAUAUUUAGAAAUACACUUUGAAUGUAUAAUAUGAAUCUGAGUAAGAGACUUAGCUGAAAUGAGGAAUUAAGACUGACUGGCAUCGACUGAGGUUUGAUGAAGUUUUUUAGUUUUUUUUUUUUACGUGUGUGUGUUUUGCCAGAAAAGUCUAUCACAGUUGUACUGAGAAGAGAUGUAGAAAACAGAUUGUAUAUGUUGCUGUGCAAGCUUAGAGGAGUGCUAGAUUAGAUAUAAUUUCAGGAGGAUGCAGAAUGAAAUGGUUAAUAUAGAGAGAUAAGAGAGUAUGUCAGUAAUUCACCAAGAGAUAAUGACAAAUGAAGAUAAGUUAUUUUGCAGAUUUUUCAAAUCAUAACCAUGGAAAUUCAGACACAUGAUAAAUAUAAUGAUGAAGAUAACAAUGAUGAAAAUAAUGAUAAUGCUGAAUAUAAUGAUAAUGAUUAAUUUAAUGAUGAUGCUGAAUUUAAUGAUGGAGAUGAACAUAAUGAUAAUGAUGAACAUAAUGGUCAAAAUUUUCCAAGCUUCUGUCGACCAUGAUUGACCAUAUACCUUGUGCCAGCAUGUGCAGACUUGGGCAAGACUUGUAUGGAAGACUGGCAGUUACCUAUACAUGCAAGUCGUCUCUUCGUCACCCUUGUUAUCUAAGUGAAAGACCACUCUUUAGAAACAAUACAGUUUGGUACCAAUGUUGCUGCAGGCAUUGCUAUCAGAACACAAAGGGUAAUAACAAAUACUGCAAGGAAUCUCAUCUGAUAAUAUAGCAAAUCUGAUAAUCCACUGCCAUGGCUAGUAUUUAUUUUAUCAACUCUGAAAUGAUGAAAAGCCAGGACUUGAACCAUAAUGCAGUGAUUUAGAACAAAUGCAGUGAGUUGUUUAUCUAAAGCCCUAACAACUCAGCCCUAUUCACUACCUUAAUUUGGCAAUGUACAACAUUUAAAAGAAACUACAAUUCAGAAAACACAGGAAUACAUUAGUUUAUUUUAUAAUGUUAAAAUCAUUAUUCUUAACCAAAAGUUACCCAACAUAUUUUAUAUAAAUUACAACACAGCACAUACCUAGAAGCUACAUACACAGAUAAGAUUUUUAUACAGAUUAUGACCCGUUAUACUCAAGUGGGAAAUUAACUACUACCAUAGACUGAGUUGUGAUUAUUUAGCUGGAGGUCAACUCAAAUUAAGCAUCAUUAAAGAUAUUUCAGCUAUGACCA